CGAUCUGAGCGUGAUCUGGCUGUGACAUCUGCCACCCCAUUGAUCACUAGGGUUGAUAGAGCUGACCUGGCUGGCUAGGCGGGGGUCCCCUUCCUCCCUCACUGCUCCAUGUGCAUCCCUCCCGAAGCUGCACACUCACUUGAAGAGGAUGACUUCCCCUCUAGAGGAGGACCGUUUUUUGCUCAAGGGUAUGUGAGUAGCUGUGUUCCCAUAUUAGAGCCUCCAAACAUGCUCUCAAAGGGCAUAUUGUUUUUUCUUCAAAUCCUUUUUUUAAAAUUCUGUUUUUUUGAGAUAAAAUCACA
ensembl:misc_RNA 7SK 7SK RNA